ACAGCAGUCGCCGCGGUAAUACGGAGGGAGCUAGCGUUGUUCGGAAUUACUGGGCGUAAAGCGCGCGUAGGCGGUUACUCAAGUCAGAGGUGAAAGCCCGGGGCUCAACCCCGGAACUGCCUUUGAAACUAGGUGACUAGAAUCUUGGAGAGGUCAGUGGAAUUCCGAGUGUAGAGGUGAAAUUCGUAGAUAUUCGGAAGAACACCAGUGGCGAAGGCGACUGACUGGACAAGUAUUGACGCUGAGGUGCGAAAGCGUGGGGAGCAAACAGGAUUAGAUACCCCUGUAGUCCCUGUCUCUUAUAC
rnacentral:rRNA from 1 species